CCUACGGGGGGCAGCAGUAGGGAAUCUUCCACAAUGGGCGAAAGCCUGAUGGAGCAACGCCGCGUGGGUGAAGAAGGUCUUCGGGUUGUAAACUUCUUUUAUUCGGGACGAAACAAAUGACGGUACCGAAUGAAUAAGCCACGGCUAACUACGUGCCAACAGCCGCGGUAAUACGUAGGUGGCAAGCGUUAUCCGGAUUUACUGGGUGUAAAGGGCGUGUAGGCGGGAGAGCAAGUCAGACGUGAAAUUCCAGGGCUCAACCCUGGAACUGCGUUUGAAACUGUUCUUCUUGAGUGAUGGAGAGGCAGGCGGAAUUCCGUGUGUAGCGGUGAAAUGCGUAGAUAUACGGAGGAACACCAGUGGCGAAGGCGGCCUGCUGGACAUUAACUGACGCUGAGGCGCGAAAGCGUGGGGAGCAAACAGGAUUAGAUACCCGGGUAGUC
rnacentral:rRNA from 1 species